UCAGUCCUUUAAGUGAGGAGUGAUGAUUUCAUCACGACCUGACAUGUCCUUCGUUUCCAGUAAGGAAAACAAACAAAACCUCACAGUUUUGAAAAUAUAGCCCAGACAUGCUGAACGCUCAUAAAAGGGCAGAGAGACCAUGGAUGGAACAGAAAAAAUAGCUUAAAAUGUCAUCAGAAGCUGUUAUGAUCUUUGAGAACACAAGCCUCAGUCUUGAGCAGAAGAUAAGGAGCAGAAUGACCUUGCAUCCUCCAGCCAUAUACCUGAUGUUAACAGUCGAGGAACCCAAGGCCAACCCAAGGACUGUAUCGUGGUGUGCAUAGACCAAUAGGCAUCCAAUUGAUCAAGCUCAGUGAUGCUCUUGGGAAGAGAGACGACACUGCAGAGAUCCCAUUCAUCAGCUUUAGCAGUUGGGAAAGGAUGGGAGAACAGCUCAUCACAGAGCUCUGCAUCCUGCACCAUGCUCACGUCUGCUGGGAUGCUCUCACUUCAGAGGGAGGAAGUGUCAUGCAAGAACACAGAGCUACUGAAUAAUAUGACUAUGGAGGAACAAACACGUGCACAGCCUGAAAAGUCUUCCCAAGAUAUGGUCACCACCAAGAAGUUCUAUGGAGGAGAGAAAGCAGUUCGAAUUAGUCCUAAAACUUCUUCUAACCAAGAUGCUUCACUUACAGAGGAACUUCCCUGGUUGCCUGGAGGCUGUUUUUAGCAGGGCACCUUCGCUACUCAAAUAAAGUAAAUGAUUGAAAAAAGAAA
rnacentral:lncRNA from 1 species